AAAAUAAUUCCACUACAAUGGUAUGUUGUAAUCCAAAAGUAGCUGAUGCGGCAAAUUUAAUAUUAAUAAAUUUCAACACCCAUGAAAGUAGAAGGGAGAAGAUAAAUGUGACAAGUGUUAUAAUUUUAUUUGUUGCUUUAAUUUCUUUUCUUUUUGCUUCGUCUUAAUUAUAUAACUUCAAUUAUUUCAUAAUAUUU
rnacentral:sRNA from 1 species